rnacentral:rRNA from 1 species
GACGAACGCUGGCGGCGUGCUUAACACAUGCAAGUCGAGCGGUAAGGCCCUUUCGGGGGUACACGAGCGGCGAACGGGUGAGUAACACGUGGGUGACCUGCCCUCAGCUCUGGGAUAAGCCUGGGAAACCGGGUCUAAUACCGGAUAUGACUCCAUGACGCAUGUUGUGGGGUGGAAAGCCUUGUGCGGCUGAGGAUGGGCCCGCGGCCUAUCAGCUUGUUGGUGGGGUGAUGGCCUACCAAGGCGACGACGGGUAGCCGGCCUGAGAGGGCGACCGGCCACACUGGGACUGAGACACGGCCCAGACUCCUACGGGAGGCAGCAGUGGGGAAUCUUGCGCAAUGGGCGAAAAGCCUGACGCAGCGACGCCGCGUGAGGGAUGACGGCCUGUGUAACGUACUUCUAUACUCGCGAACGACGACGAGUAGACGUAGGAGGACGA